rnacentral:rRNA from 1 species
GGACUACAGGGGUAUCUAAUCCCGUUCGCUCCCCUGGCUUUCGCUCCUCAGCGUCAGGUGCCUCCCAGGACACUGCCUACGCCAUUGGUAUUCCUCCGGAUCUCUACGCAUUUCACCACUCCACCCGGAAUUCUAUGUCCCUCUGCGGCCCUCGAGCCCGACCGUCUGCCCGGCACUCUCCUCGUUAAGCAAGGAGCUGGCACCGGACACGCGCCGAGCCGCCUACUCGCGCUUUACGCCCAGUAACUCCGGACAACGCUCGCCCCCUACGUAUUACCGCGGCUGCUGGCAC